GCCUGAUAUAAGGAGUCAGUGUUCUUAUACUCAGCCUGAUAUAAGGAGUCAGUGUUUUUAUACUCAGCCUGUUAUAAGGAGUCAGUGUUCUUAUACUCAGCCUGUUAUAAGGAGUCAGUGUUCUAAUACUGAGCCUGAUAUAAGGAAUCAGUGUUCUAAUACUGAGCCUUAUAUAAGGAAUGAGUGUUCUAAUACUGAGCCUGAUAUAAGGAGUCGGUGUUCUUAUACUCAGCCUGUUAUAAGGAGUCAGUGUUCAAAUACUCAGCCUCAUAUAAGGAGUCAGUGUUCUAAUACUGAGCCUGAUAUAAGGAGUCAGUGUUCUAAUACUGAGCCUGAUAUAAGGAGUCGGUGUUCUUAUACUCAGCCUCAUAUAAGGAGUCAGUGUUCUAAUACUCAGCCUCAUAUAAGGAGUCAGUGUUCUAAUACUGAGCCUUAUAUAAGGAGUCAGUGUUCUAAUACUGAGCCUCAUAUAAGGAGUCAGUGUUCUAAUACUCAGCCUCAUAUAAGGAGUCAGUGUUCUAAUACUCAGCCUCAUAUAAGGAGUCAGUGUUCUAAUACGGAGCCUCAUAUAAGGAGUCAGUGUUCUAAUACUCAGCCUCAUAUAAGGAGUCAGUGUUCUAAUACUGAGCCUUUAAUAAGGAAUAGGUGUUAGUACAAUUAGCCUGAUAUAAGGAGUCAAUGUUCUAAUACUGAGCCUGAUAUAAGGAGUCAGUGUUCUAAUUGUCAACCUGAUAUAAGGAGUCAGUUUUCUAAUGCUGAACCUGAUAUAAAGAUAAGUGUUCCCAUACUGAGCCUGAUAUAAGGAAUAAGUGUUCUGAUAUAUAGCCUUUUAUAAGAAAUCAGUUUUCUUAUACAGAACCAGAUAUACGGUAUCACUGUUCAUGUAAACACGUGUUGACAAGAAAAGUUAUUUAAUCGUCUUGUAAGGUUAUACUUGUCGGUGCUACUACUUAUCAAUAUUAUAUUGAGUAUUUGUUCAUUUUGUUUCAAACCGUCAACAACGCACACGAAUGAAUGGAAGUUGUCAUCACAUACCGGCCACAUACACCACACCGUACGUGCGGCUCGUGAUGAUUGGAUUUCUUUCGUGGAUACGAGGCAUCCCGGUGUUCUCUUAAUAUCAGGGCAUAGGCGAUUAUCUUCAGGAUACACAAAAUGCUGUCUGACGUCACAUUAACAGGUUUCGGGAUGCACAUCUGUAUGACGUUACAGGUUGUCGUUUCAAGGGUGACAACUCGUAUGGGCUCCACAAGCAAUAAAGAAAGUGUCAACUGUCCCUGAUUCUACCCACAUACAUCGCCAACCCGGCUGCACUAGAUAUUCUACUGGGUUACUGAGGGGUCUCCGAUCACGCACUCGGAGAUUUACGUAAGUUCACGAACACUGAGGUCCACACCGAGGCCAAACCGCUCCACCUUGAUGCUUUACUGACUGGUCAGAUCCUGUCAGUAGGACUCCAUCACAUGACAGACGGACGGAGUUUCCUGUAGAUAGCCCCACGAACUUCAGCUCAACAACCUUGAACAUACACUGAACAAAACUAUGUCAUACUAACCUACAUUUGAUUUCUUUUUAGAAAACGAUUGUCGAUUUCGUGGAAUUGAUGAUAUUAUCAAAAUGGCCCGCGUACCUAUAUAUAUCGAACGCUACACCGAGCGUGACCGCCGGGGCAUGCGGAUAAUAACUUUGGCUUUCAAGGUUUGUAAUGUUGCCAAAUCAUGUAUCUAGAUGUAUAGUUGUUUUUUUUAGACAUAACAGGGUAAAUCAAUAUACAUGCACGUGUCAAUAAAAUGUACCGUAGUGAGGCAAUCACAAGAAUGGUGUUGUAUAAUUGUAAUAAGUAUACGUACUAUGAAUAUCAAGUUAUAUCAAGAUAAAUAAAUGUGAUUAUUGAGUCGUAUAUUUACAAGGUCGGUCAUGUAGCUCGCUGACAAAGAUAUGUUGGUGUAGUACACAUAUGUAAACAUACAUGUUCACGUCUUUCAGACAUUUCAACGGGUUUAGAUCUCUUUGUUAACUAAAUCAGUAAUGCAAGGGCUAACGCCCAUGGAUUUAAACAAAUGACAAAUAGUUAAUGUCGCGAAUAUUAAAAUCAACAGUUUUAAAGGGGCUUGUUCUCUGAUUGCGUAUUCAAAAAAUAAUUA